rnacentral:rRNA from 1 species
GAUGAACGCUGGCGGCGUGCCUAAUACAUGCAAGUCGAGCGAACGGACGAGAAGCUUGCUUCUCUGAUGUUAGCGGCGGACGGGUGAGUAACACGUGGAUAACCUACCUAUAAGACUGGGAUAACUUCGGGAAACCGGAGCUAAUACCGGAUAAUAUUUUGAACCGCAUGGUUCAAAAGUGAAAGACGGUCUUGCUGUCACUUAUAGAUGGAUCCGCGCUGCAUUAGCUAGUUGGUAAGGUAACGGCUUACCAAGGCAACGAUGCAUAGCCGACCUGAGAGGGUGAUCGGCCACACUGGAACUGAGACACGGUCCAGACUCCUACGGGAGGCAGCAGUAGGGAAUCUUCCGCAAUGGGCGAAAGCCUGACGGAGCAACGCCGCGUGAGUGAUGAAGGUCUUCGGAUCGUAAAACUCUGUUAUUAGGGAAGAACAUAUGUGUAAGUAACUGUGCACAUCUUGACGGUACCUAAUCAGAAAGCCACGGAUAACUACGUGCCAGCAGCCGCGGUAAUACGUAGGUGGCAAGCGUUAUCCGGAAUUAUUGGGCGUAAAGCGCGCGUAGGCGGUUUUUUAAGUCUGAUGUGAAAGCCCACGGCUCAGCCGUGGAGGGUCAUUGGAAACUGGAAAACUUGAGUGCAGAAGAGGAAAGUGGAAUUCCAUGUGUAGCGGUGAAAUGCGCAGAGAUAUGGAGGAACACCAGUGGCGAAGGCGACUUUCUGGUCUGUAACUGACGCUGAUGUGCGAAAGCGUGGGGAUCAAACAGGAUUAGAUACCCUGGUAGUCCACGCCGUAAACGAUGAGUGCUAAGUGUUAGGGGGUUUCCGCCCCUUAGUGCUGCAGCUAACGCAUUAAGCACUCCGCCUGGGGAGUACGACCGCAAGGUUGAAACUCAAAGGAAUUGACGGGGACCCGCACAAGCGGUGGAGCAUGUGGUUUAAUUCGAAGCAACGCGAAGAACCUUACCAAAUCUUGACAUCCUUUGACAACUCUAGAGAUAGAGCUUUCCCCUUCGGGGGACAAAGUGACAGGUGGUGCAUGGUUGUCGUCAGCUCGUGUCGUGAGAUGUUGGGUUAAGUCCCGCAACGAGCGCAACCCUUAAGCUUAGUUGCCAUCAUUAAGUUGGGCACUCUAAGUUGACUGCCGGUGACAAACCGGAGGAAGGUGGGGAUGACGUCAAAUCAUCAUGCCCCUUAUGAUUUGGGCUACACACGUGCUACAAUGGACAAUACAAAGGGCAGCGAAACCGCGAGGUCAAGCAAAUCCCAUAAAGUUGUUCUCAGUUCGGAUUGUAGUCUGCAACUCGACUACAUGAAGCUGGAAUCGCUAGUAAUCGUAGAUCAGCAUGCUACGGUGAAUACGUUCCCGGGUCU